GAGCCUGGUAGCGCAGUGGUUGUCGCGCCCCCUGCGCGGGGGAGGACGUCGGUUCGAAUCCGGCCCGGCUCG
rnacentral:tRNA from 2 species